UUGGGUUUUGGCUAUUUAUUAUUAUUAUUAUUUUCAAAAAAAAAUAAUUAGGUUUUAAAUUUAAAAUUUUAGAUAUAAUCGUAAAGUAUUUUAGACUUACUUUGGUAUUGAGACUUAUCUGAUGCUAUUAAAUAAAAUAAAAAUAGGAUAAAAGUAUAUAGAGAUAUAUUUCCCGUUCUCAGUUGGGACCGUAGAAAAUAUUAUAAUUGAGUCAUUGCAAUAUACGAAAUGCAAUAUUAGAUACGAAAAUAAAUAUAGUAUUUUUUUAUCGUACUUUCUCAUCAUAUUAAUACAAACUCUUUUUUCUUUUUCCGCACUGAUAAGAGUCCAAACCUCUGAUUC
rnacentral:lncRNA from 1 species